GUUAUUUUCAGAAUCUUGCCUUCUUUUCUGCUUUUUCUCUUUACAACUUUCAAUUCUUACCUACCGCACCUUAUAGAUGAAUCAUCUAUGGUCCCACGGCAGGUCAGUGCUAAAGGCCUCACUGCUCCAUGGAACAAGAUGUCCUGUCGAUUAUUAAUGGGCUGCCAAUUAUGAGCUAAGCUUUUGAGCUGUUAUACUCUGCUCAUAAUGCAUUCAUACACGUAACACAUCUCCUAAAACCGACAGACAAAACCCACUUGGUACACUAGCAUAGCAGGCCAGUUUUAUCUAGAAAGUAACCUGAAACCUGAAACUUUGUUUUAUCACUUUUGAAAACGACCCAAAAGCUGUGAUAGUGUCAAGACUUCUUUCUAUUGGCAACUCUACGACCAGCCCCUUUCAAAGGACUUUAACAAACCACAUAGCUUGUCGGUACCACCCAAAUAUGGGGUUCCUCUUGAAGCAUGUGCAUAAAUUGACAGUUGGGGAGUUAAAGAGGCAGCUGUGGGCGUUUCGGACAGGAAGGAGAUGCCAGAGUCUAUAGGCAUGUCCCGUAGGCGUUUGAAGAGGACCAGAGGACACUGAUUGACUGAAGAUCAAAUGGGAUCAGUAGUUUGCCACAAAGAAGGCAGAGCGGGGCAAUCUGAGAGUCGCACUCAGAGACAAAUACAGGCUUCCAGAAGAUGGUUCAGACGGCCGGGGAAGAUCUUGACCACGCGCGGAGGACCUCGAGAAGAUGGUGGAGGAAGAGGAGAAAGAGGAGGAGAACAACAAGUCCUUUCUGGGGAAGAUUCAAGACUUGGACGUGGACAUUAAAACCAGGGGCCACCAUGAUGGAGGGGAAGCAGGACGCAGAGGAGAGGAGCACUGGGAUGUGAAUGCUGUACGGACAUCCGGGACAUAUGAGAACUGUCUCGUUGCACAUUUUGAGGCUUAAUGUACGAACUGACUUCUAUUGAAGAUAUGCCUCAUUGGUUUACGGACUGCUCCACUGCAG
ensembl:lncRNA